rnacentral:rRNA from 1 species
UCUUCCUACGGGGGGCAGCAGUGAGGAAUAUUGGUCAAUGGGCGCAAGCCUGAACCAGCCAAGUCGCGUGAGGGAUGACGGUCCUAUGGAUUGUAAACCUCUUUUGUCGGGGAGCAAGGCCCGCCACGUGUGGCGGGAAGGAGAGUACCCGAAGAAAAAGCAUCGGCUAACUACGUGCCAGCAGCCGCGGUAAUACGUAGGUGGCAAGCGUUGUCCGGCUUUAUUGGGCGUAAAGCGAGUGCAGGCGGUUUCA